GAUGAAGAACGUAGCGAAAUGCGAUAAGUAAUGUGAAUUGCAGAAUCCAGUGAAUCAUCGAAUCUUUGAACGCACAUUGCGCCCGCCAGCAUUCUGGUGGGCAUGCCUGUUCGAGCGUCAUUUCAACCCUCGACCUCCCUUUGGGGAAGUCGGCGUUGGGGACCGGCAGCACACCGCCGGCCCUGAAAUGGAGUGGCGGCCCGUCCGCGGCGACCUCUGCGUAGUAAACCAACUCGCACCGGAACCCCGACGUGGCCACGCCGUAAAACACCCAACUUCUGAACGUUGACCUCGAAUCAGGUAGGACUACCCGCUGAACUUAAGCAUAUCAAUAAGCGGAGGA
rnacentral:misc_RNA from 1 species